rnacentral:rRNA from 1 species
UACGGGGGGAGCAAGCGUUGUUCGGAUUUACUGGGCGUAAAGGGCGCGUAGGCGGCGUAACAAGUCACUUGUGAAAUCUCCGGGCUUAACCCGGAGCGGCCAAGUGAUACUGUUGUGCUAGAGUGCGGAAGGGGCUACUGGAAUUCUCGGUGUAGCGGUGAAAUGCGUAGAUAUCUGGAGGAACACCGGUGGCGAAGGCGGCAUCCUGGACCGGCAUUGACGCUGAGGCGCGAAAGCCAGGGGAGCAAACGGG